rnacentral:rRNA from 1 species
AGUGAACGCUGGCGGUAGGCCUAACACAUGCAAGUCGAACGGCAGCACAGUAAGAGCUUGCUCUUACGGGUGGCGAGUGGCGGACGGGUGAGGAAUACAUCGGAAUCUACUUUUUCGUGGGGGAUAACGUAGGGAAACUUACGCUAAUACCGCAUACGACCUACGGGUGAAAGCAGGGGAUCUUCGGACCUUGCGCGAUUGAAUGAGCCGAUGUCGGGUUAGCUAGUUGGCGGGGUAAAGGCCCACCAAGGUGACGAUCCGUAUCUGGUCUGAGAGGAUGUCCGCCGUCUCUGGAACUGAGACACGGUCCGGACUCCUACGGGAGGCAGCAGUGGGGAAUAUUGGACAAGGGGCGCAAGCCUGAUCCAGCCAUACCGCGUGGGUGAAGAAGGCCUUCGGGUUGUAAAGCCCUUUUGUUGGGAAAGAAAAGCAGCAGGUUAAUACCCCGCUGUUCUGACGGUACCCAAAGAAUAAGCACCGGCUAACUUCGUG